CAUACUUACAAGGCCAAGCACAGGGUACGCCUCAUAAUAAGCUGUCCUAGAAUCACAUACACAGAGGCUGUUCAAGCCAGAAGAGGUGCAAACGAGAAUGUAAACAAGCAAAGCAGACAGGUAUAGGACAAUAGGUGUUCUGGCUCCGGCUGAACUGGAGAACACAUGUCCUUUUAAAUGAAGGCAUUUAAAAAUCAGUUAAAAACAAAACCUUUGCCAGCCAAAAAAAAAAAAAAAAAAAAAAAAAAAAAAAAAAAAAAAAAAAACACCAAAAUCAAACCCACAGAUGAAGAACCCAGCUCAGAGAGGAGAAGAGCUUGCCAGUCUGUGACAGUCCCAUUAUUGGAUUCUAGAUCUUCUGACUGCAAGCAAUACACCAAGACUUUCGGGGAGAGAGGAGGGACUGUUCCAACACAGAUCUUCUGCUUAUGGUCGGAAACUCAUCCCUUUCAUCACCAUCUCUGACCUGAUGCAGAUUCAGAGAAAAAAGUGCAAUGUGCAAGGAGCCAACACGAGGACGUAAUACCCAACAGGUACUCUGCCAGGUGCUGCUGUCACAGUGGUGAGCAAAGCCGACCCGGCCUGGGCUCUCAGGGAGCAGGGCAGCCUAUGUUGGAGGUAUGGACAGCGGGAGUUACCAACCACUUCCGAGAUGGAUGAUUAACGAGAGGAGGGGCUGUGGGGGCCUCAGUUUGCAGUCACUUAUUUUUAAAGUUUAAAGACAGCUCAUACCCAGAAAAUUCACAGUGUGGGAUGAACAAUUUCCUACAUGCAUUGAGGACCUCGGCUGGCUUUGGAAAAGCUCCUUCUGCUGCUUCCCUGGAACCUGGACAUUUUUACUCACCAGUCUAGUCUAGACUUCUCAGGCUGGGCUGUUGCUCCUCACACAUGGAACAUGGCCUCUAAGGGCAGCACCUUGAAGCGGGUGUACAGGUGCCAGGCCCCAACCUUCACCCCCAAUCCCUAGUCACCCCAACUUGUGCUCUGCUUCUAGGGCAGCCACAGAGCCUGUGGUUCAGCAGUUCCAGCUGUGCUUGCUUCUGCAUGAACAGCUCAAGGAGUGCAUCUCUAGUAGACAUUUGAGGCUUUGGGGCCUUCCAGCCCCGACUUCCUCUUCCUUCUGUUAAUGACUCCCUCAUUUCCAUUUGGAGAAUCACCUCUUCCCCUCGAUGUGCAGGCCUGAUGAAAUUGUCAGUCAAGGAUUCUCGUCCUCCCCUAGUCAAGGGGCUCAUUGACCAAACCCUCUCCUGGAAUUUGGAACCUUGACUGGAGUGAUACAAAGGCAGAAAAAUGACCAUCCCUUAUUCACCCAAGCAGACAGCCUCUGCCCUGGGGACCCUCAGACCUUCUCUGGUCCCUGCCCUUUGGAGCCUGAUUAUUCAUUUUUCCAGUUCUAUGGGCUACCCAGUAGCCCUCUGAAGAUCUGCAUUUGCUAGUACUUGCGAGUCACACAAUGUGACAAAAACAAAUGGCUACUGAUGGUGAGUCAGAAAUGUCACCUUGCGUGUCUUCUAGCAAGGAAAUAAUAAUCAUAGCACAAAAGUGUGAUCCAUGACUACUCGAGAAGCACCCCCAAUAAGACAGUUCCUUCAGUCUUUUAACAGCUCUGUGGGGAAGGCAAGCAGUGAUCAUAGCACAUUUUAGAAAUGAGGAUGCUUAGGUUCAGAGACAUACCCAGCGAUUACACGGCCUCGAAGCAGCAGAGCCAUUACUCAAACAUCAGCCUGCCUUCUGACUCCAGCCUACGAUGUUCUCCACCAGACCACACCACCUUUCCCAGGCCUCCUGAGCUGACCUGGAGUUGCUUCUCCAGGACGGGGUUUAUCCAAUCUUUAGCCUCUUCUGCCUACUGGGCCCAUGUCCUGACUCACCAGUAACUGAAAUUGGGAAUCUCACCUCUGAAAUACAUUUCACAAAGUCUGGCUUGCUACAGCAUUCAAGCAGAGGACACAUAAAGACACACCUUCAAAGUCACUUUUAAAAUGUCAUCGGGACUCUCUGUGCCUAUUCCUAUUGACUAUUCACAAUAGCCCAAUGUCCAUUAAUGAACAAAUGGAUAAAAAAAUUUGGUAUAUCCAUACACCGGAAUAUUAUUCAGCCAUUAGAAUGAAUGAAGUACUGAUGCAUACUACAAUGUGGAUGAAUCUUGAAAACAUGCUAAGUGAAAGAAGUCAGACAAAAAAGGUCACAUAUUGUAGGAUUCUAUUUAUGCGCAAUAUCCAGAAAAGAUAAAUCCAUAGAAUCAGAAGACAGAUUGGUGGUUACCAGUGGCUGGAGGAAGGGAGAUGGAGAGAAACUGCUUACGGGGUACAGGGUUUUACUUGGGAGUAAUGGAAACGUUUUGGUAACCAGAUAGAGGUGGUGUUUGCACAACAUUAUAAAUGUAUGAAAUGCCAUUGGAUCAUCCACUUAAAAAUG